AUGGCGGCUGCGACGGCGACGGCGGCAGGAGCAGCCGCUGCGGCCGCCUCCAUAUCCUUGUUUGCAUACUACUUCCUCUUCGGCAGGAGCGGCUCCAAGUUCCCAUGGGCCCGCACCACCGGCGCGGACGACCGGAGGACGCGGCGGAAGGGCCUCGUGGAGGCCGUCGGCAACACGCCUCUCAUCCGCAUCAACAGCCUCUCUGACGCCACCGGGUGUGAGAUUCUGGGGAAGGCCGAAUUUCUGAACCCGGGAGGCAGCGUGAAGGACCGUGUGGCGGUUAAGAUUAUCGAGGAGGCUCUGAAAUCUGGGGAUCUUGUCUGUGGUGGUGUAGUAACAGAAGGGAGUGCCGGAAGCACGGCUAUUAGCUUGGCCACUGUUGCUCCUGCUUAUGGCUGUAGGUGCCAUGUUGUUAUUCCUGAUGAUGCUGCCGUUGAGAAGUCUCAAAUAAUUGAAGCGCUUGGAGCUACUGUGGAACGAGUGCGUCCUGUUUCAAUCACUCACAGAGACCAUUUUGUCAAUAUUGCAAGAAGAAGGGCAUUGGAAGCCAAUAUAGCAUCAGCACAAAGGGAACCUAAUCACAUACAAACUAAUGGUUCAGCCUAUGUUGAUACUAAAACGCUGAACUCCAAACAAACUAACGGUUCAGCACAUGCCAGUUCUGAAGUGCCUGACAAUGGCAAAUGUUACCCUAAUUCUGAUUCAAAGGGAGGUUUCUUUGCUGACCAGUUUGAGAAUAUGGCAAACUAUCGAGCGCAUUACGAAUGGACUGGUCCUGAGAUAUGGAAGCAAACUAAAGGGACUGUUCAUGCCUUUGUUGCUGCCGCUGGUACUGGCGGUACAAUUGCUGGAGUUUCACGAUAUCUUAAGGAAAUGAACAGAAAUGUCCGAUGCUUUUUAAUGGAUCCACCUGGAUCUGGUCUGUUUAAUAAGGUAACCAGAGGGGUUAUGUAUACAAAAGAGGAGGCUGAGGGCAAAAGGCUGAAAAAUCCUUUUGACACUAUUACUGAAGGAAUUGGAAUCAACAGGGUCACAGCAAAUUUUAUGAUGGCAGAACUGGAUGGUGCUUACCGGGGAACAGAUAGAGAAGCUGUUGAGAUGUCAAGGUUCCUGCUGAGAAGAGAUGGACUAUUUGUUGGGAGUUCUUCAGCCAUGAAUUGUGUUGGGGCUGUAAGAGUUGCCCGGGAUUUAGGUCCAGGACAUACAAUUGUGACAAUUCUCUGCGACAGUGGGAUGAGGCAUCUAAGUAAGUUCUUCAAUGAUGAAUAUUUGGCCAAUCAUGGGUUGACACCAACUGCUACUGGUCUGGAGUUUCUUGAUCAGUAA
rnacentral:rRNA from 1 species